GGAGAAUAUGUUGUCUGGGAGAAGCAACCAAAGAGUGGACAGAAGAUUCAAGAGUGGGUGGAGUUGGAGGCUGCAUAGAAUACACAGCUUCAGAAGUGCUGAACAGGACUCAGAGAUCACAGAAAGCUGAGGAAGUGGACGUGGCCCAGAGGAGCUCCCCUGCCCAAGCAGAGUUUUUCUGCUUAACCACUAGGGCAAGCAACCCAUUUGUACGUAAUUUUGUGAAUGACAGCUAAUAUCCCCACAUAACCCUUGGACUCCAAAAGCUGCAGCUGUAAAAGAAAUGCCAAGAAGGCUUCAAGUCUGAGGAAUUAACUUCCCUUCAUGUGCAAAGAACAGCUAAAUCCACAGCGGGACUUCUGUGAUGUUACACUGCUGUACGCAUGCGCUCUCUGCCAGCUGCUCCAUGGCAGGUCAGUGGGUGCCCCACAGGAGGUGUGAAGCCAAAGCAUCACAUUGCUGAAGAACUGCAGCAGGAUGGGAGGGAGCAUCUGUGCCAUGGAAGAGCCUCGUGGUUAGGACAUGGCUUUGAAUCCUCUCAAGGGGAGGGAACCCAAUGUGGGUCCCUCACAUCCUGAAAGUGCUCUGUGGCUGCUGUGCUCUGGGUUAAGCUGCUGGGCUCUACUCCUCUCAGCAGUCACCCUUCCUGGUGGAAUGCUUCCAAGGCACAAAGCAGAGGAACAGUUGGAUCUGUGCACUGAACACUUCCUGAGCAAGGCUGAGACCCCAGGGCUGGGUGGUAUAGACAGGAGAGCUAAGAGGGAUGGCACCAGAGGAGUCUGAGUUCAAAUCCAAUGGGGUUUCAAUUCCAGCAGGAUUAGGAGACAGCUGCCUCCAGUUAAGGAGUUUCAAGGAACAUGAUUUUGGACUAAAGUUCUUAACUUUUCUCACUUCGAUUACAUCUGGCAACUUGGAAAUACUACCAUUCUUAUUCCACAUAAAAGUGAAUCAGCAAGAAAGUGUUGGAACUUAUCUCUGAGAUUUUAUUUUAUUUUUUCCAUUUGUAGUGCUCCUAAAAUUCAUGGGACCCCAGAGAGGACACUUUUCCAUGUCUGUUUAUUUUUCUCCAGUAAUGCACCACUGAGAAAUGUUGUUAUGUGUGUUUUGACAGUGCAGAUCCUCCUUCACAUUACCACCGUGGUUGUGUGCAGAGGUGCUGAGCAGAUUCUGAUCCCAUGGAUGAUGCUGGAAGUACCAAUUGGUGGAAAUCAUUCCACACCAAAAGCAAGCAUGUUCAUGAGAGUAUGGGCUACUAAAUCUAUCUUCCUUCCUUCCUUCCCUCCUUCCCUCCUUCCCUCCUUCCUUCCUUCCUUCCUUCCUUCCUUCCUUCCUUCCUUCCUUCCUUCCUUCCUUCCUUCCUUCCUUCCUUCCUUCCUUCCUU
ensembl:lncRNA